GGUUUCGGCGGGCGGCAGGGGCGCGGUCGCAGCGGUGCACGGGCCGGGGGCAUGCGAGCGGCGUCGGAACAGGGCUGCACCCCCCCUAGCCCCCGCGCGCGCCCCGCUCCAGACGGUGGAGGCGACCGUGUGCCGGAAAAUCCCGGCGGGGCGGCGCCGGUCCGGCGUGCAGGCGGUGCGAGCCGUGCGGAGUCGAGGGGGGCUUUGCCGGGCCGGCGGGCGGAAGAGGCGGCGCGGGCGCUGCGCUGGUCCCGGCCGGUGCCGGUCGCUCUGUCCGCUCCCCGCGAGGAGAACGAGCCAACGUCCCGUCACGUUUCAGCAAUGCCAAAUCACCUCAUCUCUUCUUAAUCCAGGCAGGCUCUGCGACGACGGCGUCGGCCUCCGAGCGCAGCCGAAGCGUGCGCCCCGAGGAGCCCGGCAUUCUUAGGAGAAUGCUGUUUCUGUACUCCUGACUUCCCGUCACGCCAGGGACACGUGGCUUGGAGCACAGCAGCCGGAUUCCUCACUUAGCCGUGUCAGCUUGGUGCAGGUUACGAAUUACAGGGUGACUUGGAAACCCAGAAACAAAGGGAAGAAGCUGGAUGGGGAAGAAAGGCUGCAGAGCUUCCUGCAACGGGCUGCGAGCACAAAGAGCGAGGAGGCAGCGGAAGACCGGACUCAGGAAUCGGAACGGUUUUCUUGGGUUUAAGAAGCUCGAAUGGCGCUUCAAGACAUUUAUAUCAGACCUGGUUUCAUUUCAUUACCCUUUUUUUUUACAUCCACAAAAAAACCCCAGCCCUCCCCCCCCCCACCUCCAGGAUCCAUCGCUGCUGCUGCCGUGCGUGACGAGAAGCCGUCUUCCCUCUGCCCGGAGCAGCUGAGAGAUGGAGCAGCACCCCAAAGGACUUUCUGCUCAGUGAUUAUAGCUGAGUUUUAGUGGGAAUUCUCUGAGCAAUCUGGUGGAUUGUGCUUGAACGUGGCCGUGAGGGUAGCUGAGCACGGCAGUCCGGAUCUGCGAGCCGCGGUGCCGGAGCUCUUUGAAAGGUCGUGGGGGAUGCAUUCAUUCCAUUGAAUCCCGGCCCUGUGCUGUGCCCAGGCCCUUUGUACAAAGAGUGUACGGGGAGAAACCAGAACUGCACGUUGCUUGCGAUACGUAUGGAGUUUUGAAAGCUUUAGUUCUAGCUAAUAAAAGAAGUUAGUUUGAAAAAAAGCCAAA